UACAGAGGAUGCAAGCGUUAUCCGGAAUGAUUGGGCGUAAAGCGUCUGUAGGUGGCUUUUUAAGUCCGCCGUCAAAUCCCAGGGCUCAACUCUGGACAGGCGGUGGAAACUACCAAGCUGGAGUACGGUAGGGGCAGAGGGAAUUUCCGGUGGAGCGGUGAAAUGCGUAGAUAUAGGAAGGAACACCAGUGGCGAAGGCGACCACCUGGACUGAUACUGACACUGAGGUGCGAAAGCGUGGGGAGCAAACAGG
rnacentral:rRNA from 1 species